AUCUAUUCCUGGAGGUUGCUCCUUGUGGAGUUUUUGUAAGCCUACAAAACCUCACCAACAACUGAUAUCGUGGAUGAAUGACAUCAGAGAGUAGCACUUGAGCAACUGCAAGACCCACUGGAUGAGAAUGGGAAUCAACAAGAGCACUUACUAUUUACGAAGUGUCAGAGCAGAAAUUUUGAUAUCUACUAACGCCUUUUAAACAGCAGUCUCCAAGAACAACCCUUUCAGUACGAAUGGGAACCUUUGGAGGAUUUCUAAUGGGAAGAGUUCAGUAUUCUUUAGUUCCUGGAUUCAGCAGGUCUUAAGUAAAAGACUGCUAUCAGCCUGUUCAGAUGUCGGCAAUUUGUGCAGCAAGUGUAGGAGCAGUUUUAUCCACCCAGGGAAUUUCAGUCCAAGCAAAGAAGCAUGCAGGUAUCUUAAUUGCUUGGAUUCAUGAUUUGGAACAAUUUACAUUGCAGCAGUUGGCCUAGUUGCUAUUUUCUGCCUUGUCUUCAGGUGCACAGCUCACUGAAUUAUUUCUUAACUCCCAUAAUUUACAUUCCAACAUGUUAAGAAAAAUCAUAACUCGUAUUGUGUAUGGUCCAUAAACUUAUGCUUUAUUUCAAGCAUUUGUCUAAACCUAACUUUAUGCAACAAAGCAGUUAAAUAUAUGUUCAUGUCCUAGAAGUCAGUGGGGGAUUGAGAACAGAUAAAAUGUACACCUGAACACUUUAUAAAAGCAAAGUUCCUGUUGUGUAGUCUUUCCUGUGUGGCGUAGAGUCUGCCAUAUUCCAAUUCAAUAAUUCAUUUUGCUGAUAAAAACAUAUAAUAUUAUUCUCAGCUGUAAAUUUUCAUACCUCUAAAAUGCGUUGGUUUUAAAAUCAAAAUGUAGUAAUUAGUAUCCUCUUCGUAAUGGGUAGAGGGGAGAUGGAAGAGGAAAAAAGAAAUUUGUUGUUACUUCCAUAAAAAUGAGGGUAUCUUUGCAUUUAUGUCAGAUUUAGCUAAUCUAUAGUUAAAACCAUAAAAUAAGAUUCAUAUAGCACUUUCAGCCUCUUAAAAAGUUAAGAAAUCCUAGAUUUUAUUUACAAAUACAACAAUUAUCCCCAUUUUACCUUAGCAUAUAGAUGUGAAUUUCUGUAGCUUUAAUUUGUUUUGAUUUUUUUUACACCAGUUCAUAGUAUAGUGUAUGUUGUGCAAUAGUAUUUCUGUAUCAUUAAUGCAUUUAAACAUCAGAUACUGAGAUACUUAUAUACAUAAUAAUUGAGAUAAAUUCAACACUGAUUUAGCUUUACGUUAGUACUCAUUUGCUGUAAUAGCCUGGCACAAGUAUACUUGGCCGAACUCAUAGAAUCAUGUAAUAUCCUGAGUAGGAAGGGAAUUGUAACUUUAUGGAAUUCAACUCCUGGCUCCAUACAGGACAACCUAAAAUUCAAACUAUAUGAGAGCAUUAUCCAAACACUUCUUGAGCUCCAGCAGUCUUGGUGCUGCGACCACUACCAGGGAAAGCAUGUUCCAGCAGCGGACCAUCCUCUAGUGAAGAAUCUUCUCUUGAUCUCCAACCUAGACAUCCCUUGGCACAGCUUCAUGCUGUUCCCUUGGGUCCUAUCUCUGGUCACAACCUUGAUAUUUUGUGUUCUGUGCUGAACUGAUGACAAUGAGACUACCUGUGCACAUAUGAACCUGUUUAACUAACUGAAUUAACAAUGAUUGACAAAGUAAUUGACUUAGCUUCAUUAAGUUUCUUUUUUUUAUAAGGGUUAUUAUUGUUUUGUAAUUUAGUAAAUAAAAACAUGUAGGAUAAAAUUUCACAAGCCAUUCUUCUGCUGAGAUCUGUCAGAAAACAUAUAUUUGUUAUUAUCUAUUUCAUAUAUAUAUGAAUAUAUACAAUAUAUGAAUAUUUGUGUGUGUAUAUAUAUAUAUGAAUAUAUAUGAAAUAUAUAUCAAUAUAUAUAUGGAGACCAAACAGUGAAUGUUAUCACAGUGAGACAGUGGUGGUGCAUUUCGGCAGUGGUGACAGUGACUGUGGGUCACCUCUGCUGGUGUGGAUUUUACGGCAUGCAGGCUCUCAUUCAUUGCUGGUGAAAGUGCAUAGCUGAUGGUGUUGAUUAUGUUGAAAAACAGUGUUGUGCAACUGAGAAUUUGCUCUAUCAAAUAGUGUUUUUGUGCUCUUUGCAUGUAGUUUUCAUGGAAUAAGUAGGAGGCAUCAUUUUGGAGCAAUCUAUAUAUAAAAGAAAAUGUUCAUCUCAGUUUUCUAUUAUUUUCUUCAGGGGAAAUUCUGAGAAUCAGUGAAUAAAUAAGUGGC
rnacentral:lncRNA from 7 species